UGAUUGCAAUUUUCACAACUACACUGGAGUCCUUUGAGUGAGGAUAUAGGUUUGCUCAUCUUACCGCUUAAUUUGCAUGAAAUCCAAAUCUACUCUUUUAAAUUUCAUGCAAAUUGAAGCUCUAGACAAGCUACUAUGCUACUGAGGAACAACCAAAGUCAUCCAAAGUCAAAGCAUCAGAAGAGGUAAAGGAUAUUAUGACCUUCAGCUUCUGACCUUCAGAGACAACUACUUUGAAAUACGAGUCAUCAGUAAUAUCCUUAAGAUUAAGGACAGUCGUUGGUUAUAAGAUGAGACCCAUGAGGUGGUCUCAUCUGCAGAGGUUCAACAUGAAACCCACGAGGUGGUCUCAUCCCCAGAGUUCCAGCCUGAGACCCAAAAGGUUGGCUCAUCUCCAGAACUCCAGCAUAAAGUUAUGUUCCUGCUAGAGGUCAACGAGGUGACCUCCCAAGCCACGUUCCUGUCCGAUGUCAAAGAGACAGCCUCUCAAGCCAAGUUCCUGUCCAUGGUCAAAGAGACGACCUCUCAAGCCAAGAUCCUGUCUGAGGUCCAAGAAACGGCCUCCCAAGCCACGUUCACAUACGAGGUUAAAGAGGCGGCCUCCCAAGCCAAAUUCCUGUCCGAAGUUGAAGAGACGACCUCCCAAGACAAGUUUCUGUCCGAGGUCGAAGAGAUGGCCUCCCAAGUCAAGUUUCUGUCCGAGGUCGAAGAGACAGCCUCCCAAGCCAAGUUUCUGACCUGCCGUAAAAAAUUUUGUUUGUGCUGCUACGGUUCUGAAGAAAUUAAAAGAAUAUUUAUAGGUCAUUCUGGGGUCACUCAGCCACCCCACACACUCCAAAUUCACCCCAAAUACUCUCAAUCGUUUGUGCUUCGUUUGUGCUGGUUUGUGCUGAUAGAAGUUUCGUUUGUGCUGCUUCGGUUUUUUAAAAUAUUAUAUAUUGAAUUAUGGUGCGGUGACAUCACCAGCCCCCCACAUGCUCCAUGUUCACUUCGAAUAGGCUCGUUUUUUGUACUUGGUUUGUGCUGGUUUGUGGCGAUAAAUGCUUCAUUUGUGCUGCUUCGGAUUUGGAGUAUUAAAAGAAUAUUUAUAGGUAAUUCUGGGGUCACUCAGCCCCCCCCAUAUGCUCCAAAUUCACCCCAAAUAGUCUCAGUCGUUUGUGCUGGUUUUUG
ensembl:lncRNA